rnacentral:rRNA from 1 species
GUCUACGGCCAUGCCAUGCUGAAUAUGCCCGAUCUUGUCUGAUCUCAGAAGCUAAGCAGGGUCCGGCCUGGUUAGUAUUUGGAUGGAAGACCACCUAGGAAGACCAGGUGCUGUAGGUG